rnacentral:rRNA from 1 species
GUGUAAAAGAUACAGCCGCACAACCGAGCAGGGAUGCUUUGGUGCCUUGGGGAACUGUGAUGCAGGUUCUGCAUGGCUGUCGUCAGCCUGUGUUGUGAAAUGUUGGGUUAAGUCCCGCAACGAGCGCAACCCUUAUCCUUUGUUGCCAGCGGUCCGGCCGGGAACUCAAAGGAGACUGCCAGUGAUAAACUGGAGGAAGGUGGGGAUGACGUCAAGUCAUCAUGGCCCUUACGGCCAGGGCUACACACGUGCUACAAUGGCAUAUACAAAGAGAAGCGACCUCGCGAGAGCAAGCGGACCUCAUAAAGUAUGUCGUAGUCCGGAUUGGAGUCUGCAACUCGACUCCAUGAAGUCGGAAUCGCUAGUAAUCGUAGAUCAGAAUGCUACGGUGAAUACGUUCCCGGGCCUUGUACACACCGCCCGUCACACCAUGGGAGUGGGUUGCAAAAGAAGUAGGUAGCUUAACCUUCGGGAGGGCGCUUACCACUUUGUGAUUCAUGACUGGGGUGAAGUCGUAACAAGGUAGCCGUAGGGGAACCUGCGGCUGGAUCACCUCCUUA